UACGUAGGGUGCGAGCGUUAAUCGGAAUUACUGGGCGUAAAGCGCGUGUAGGCUGCUCUGCAAGUCGGAUGUGAAAGCCCUGGGCUCAACCUAGGAAGUGCACUCGAAACUGCAGAGCUUGAGUCCUGGAGAGGAAGGCGGAAUUCUCGGUGUAGAGGUGAAAUUCGUAGAUAUCGAGAGGAACACCGGUGGCGAAGGCGGCCUUCUGGACAGUGACUGACGCUGAGACGCGAAAGCGUGGGGAGCAAACAGG
rnacentral:rRNA from 1 species